UAGAGUUUGAUCAUGGCUCAGAUUGAACGCUGGCGGCAGGCCUAACACAUGCAAGUCGAGCGGCAGCGACUUAACUGAACCUUCGGGGAACGUUAAGGGCGGCGAGCGGCGGACGGGUGAGUAAUGCCUGGGAAUAUGCCCUGAUGUGGGGGAUAACUAUUGGAAACGAUAGCUAAUACCGCAUAAUCUCUUCGGAGCAAAGAGGGGGACCUUCGGGCCUCUCGCGUCAGGAUUAGCCCAGGUGGGAUUAGCUUGUUGGUGAGGUAAUGGCUCACCAAGGCAACGAUCCCUAGCUGGUCUGAGAGGAUGAUCAGCCACACUGGAACUGAGACACGGUCCAGACUCCUACGGGAGGCAGCAGUGGGGAAUAUCGCACAAUGGGGGAAACCCUGAUGCAGCCAUGCCGCGUGUGUGAAGAAGGCCUUCGGGUUGUAAAGCACUUUCAGUAGGGAGGAAGGUAGUGUAGUUAACACCUGCACUAUUUGACGUUACCUACAGAAGAAGCACCGGCUAACUCCGUGCCAGCAGCCGCGGUAAUACGGAGGGUGCGAGCGUUAAUCGGAAUUACUGGGCGUAAAGCGCAUGCAGGCGGCCUGUUAAGUCAGAUGUGAAAGCCCGGGGCUUAACCUCGGAAUUGCAUUUGAAACUGGC
rnacentral:rRNA from 1 species